CCAUGCGUAGCCGCGUCCACACUAUGCAACUCUCAUAGCUUCCUCUAUGCCUGAGAGAGAGGUCAGCUCCUCCGCCGCUUCCUGUCUCCUCUCUUUCUAGAUCCAAAGGAUGUCAGACCUUGCUUUCUGGCCAUGGGCCUCAGCUGCUUCCGGUGGCGGCAUGGACAAGCCCGGCCAUAGGCAUCGACAUCCUUCUGGCAGCAUGAAAUCUGACUAGACCAUGGCGCGUUGGUGGAUGGGCUACUACCUAUUCGCAGGUCGAAUCGUGCUGGACAUGCUGGGGCAUCCUGCCGUGCUGGGAUCCACUGAGUGCCUCUACUUCGUGGAGCGGUAGCUGCUCCUCAUUGACGUCUACAUCUUGGAGCCUGGAGCGGCAGCUGCUUAGCUCGUCCAGUGCUUGACGGCUGAUUUACUUGCCCGCUUUGUACUGUAUGAUCUUUUUUCCUUUGUUCAGACACAGAGAUCCACCAACAAGGAUAUGUGAGAUCUGCAGCAGUUGGAACCGAUGACGAAGUCGGGUCCCAUUUUAAUUCGUGGGAGAAGAAGCUUCAGCUUGCCCCUUGUCACAAAAAUCAUUCAUAAGGCAGGUAGCAGUAGCAAGGCCUCCAACUGGAGUUAAUAUAGUGCUCAUCUCUUGAAACAAAGUUAAACUUCUGUCCAUUUCUAUGGCUGGUCCUUUUAUGCAUUAAGUGCCUGUGCUGCUGUGCCUACAUCUACUUUGAAUUUAAGCAGUUGGAAACUGAUUGGCAGCUGAAAAUUGUACUUAGAGGAGCCAAAUACUGAUAGCGAGGAUUUUAUAACUGCCAUAUAUUUGGACCUCAAUAUUUUUUUAUUUUUAUUCUUCUAAUGUAAUUGAAACCGAUGGUGUUCCUAGACUGAGGUCUUAUGUAAUUGAAAAUUAACUUGUCUAUAUGGGUUAUAUGUUUGUCUUUUUGUUGUAUGUGAUAUAAUAAUGGGCCAUAUGUUG